UACGUAGGGUGCAAGCGUUAAUCGGAAUUACUGGGCGUAAAGCGUGCGCAGGCGGUUUUGUAAGACAGAUGGGAAAUCCCCGGGCUCAACCUGGGAACUGCAUUUGUGACUGCACGGCUGGAGUGCGGCAGAGGGGGAUGGAAUUCCGCGUGUAGCAGUGAAAUGCGUAGAUAUGCGGAGGAACACCGAUGGCGAAGGCAAUCCCCUGGGCCUGCACUGACGCUCAUGCACGAAAGCGUGGGGAUCAAACAGG
rnacentral:rRNA from 1 species